rnacentral:rRNA from 1 species
GACGAACGCUGGCGGCGUGCUUAACACAUGCAAGUCGAACGAAGUGGCGAACGGGUGAGUAACGCGUAAUCAACCUGCCCUUCAGAGGGGGACAACAGUUGGAAACGACUGCUAAUACCGCAUACUGAAGGAGGGGAAUGCGGCUGAUUAGCUAGUUGGGGGGGUAACGGCCCACCAAGGCGAUGGUCAGUAGCCGGUCUGGUAGGUUGAACGGCCCCAUUUGGACGGAGACACGGCCCAGACUCCUACGGGAUGCAGCAGUGGGGAAUGUUCCGCAAUGGACGAAAGGCUGACGGUGCAACGCCGCGGGAGUGAUGACGGCCUUCGGGUUGUAAAGCUCUGUUAAUCGGGACGCGGUACCGGAAUAGAAAGCCACGGCUAACUACGUGCCAGCAGCCGCGGUAAUAC